CCUACGGGAGGCAGCAGUGAGGAAUAUUGGUCAAUGGGCGAGAGCCUGAACCAGCCAAGUCGCGUGAAGGAUGAAGGAUCUAUGGUCUGUAAACUUCUUUUAUAUGGGAAUAAAGUGAGGAACGUGUUCCUUUUUGUAUGUACCAUAUGAAUAAGCAUAGGCUAACUCCGUGCCAGCAGCCGCGGUAAUACGGAGGAUGCGGGCGUUAUCCGGAUUUAUUGGGUUUAAAGGGUGCGUAGGUGGUUAAUUAAGUCAGCGGUGAAAGGUUGUGGCUCAACCAUAAAAUUGCCGUUGAAACUGGCUAACUUGAGUAUAUUUGAGGUAGGCGGAAUGCGUGGUGUAGCGGUGAAAUGCAUAGAUAUCACGCAGAACUCCGAUUGCGAAGGCAGCUUACUAAACUAUAACUGACACUGAGGCACGAAAGCGUGGGGAGCAAACAGGAUUAGAUACCCCUGUAGUC
rnacentral:rRNA from 1 species